rnacentral:rRNA from 1 species
AGUGUAAAGGCAUAAGGGAGCUUGACUGCGAGACCUACAAGUCGAGCAGGGUCGAAAGACGGACUUAGUGAUCCGGUGGUUCCGCAUGGAAGGGCCAUCGCUCAACGGAUAAAAGCUACCCCGGGGAUAACAGGCUUAUCUCCCCCAAGAGUUCACAUCGACGGGGAGGUUUGGCACCUCGAUGUCGGCUCAUCGCAUCCUGGGGCUGUAGUCGGUCCCAAGGGUUGGGCUGUUCGCCCAUUAAAGCGGUACGCGAGCUGGGUUCAGAACGUCGUGAGACAGUUCGGUCCCUAUCCGUCGUGGGCGUAGGAAAUUUGAGAGGAGCUGUCCUUAGUACGAGAGGACCGGGAUGGACAUACCUCUGGUGUACCAGUUGUCGUGCCAACGGCAUAGCUGGGUAGCUAUGUGUGGACGGGAUAAGUGCUGAAAGCAUCUAAGCAUGAAGCCCCCCUCAAGAUGAGAUUUCCCAACUUCGGUUAUAAGAUCCCUCAAAGAUGAUGAGGUUAAUAGG